rnacentral:ncRNA from 2 species
CAGGCUAUGUGUAACUGGCGAGAGUGCGGAGAGAACCGCAAGGGAGCACAUAGUAUCGAUAGCCGCUCGCCUGGGCAAAAGGU